AUGACCAACCUGGAGAGCAAAGCUGAGGCUGGAGUAGAAACAACCCCAAAAGCUGAUGUGGACACAGCAGAGGAAGCGGUAGCAUCUGUGGACUAAAGCCCAUUUGAAGUUUUAAAUAAACUUGUUGCUUUUC